UACGGGAGGCAGCAGUGGGGAAUAUUGCACAAUGGGCGAAAGCCUGAUGCAGCUAUGCCGCGUGUAUGAAGAAGGCCUUAGGGUUGUAAAGUACUUUCAUCGGGGAGGAAAAAACAAAACUAAUAAUUUUAUUUCUUGACGUUACCCGAAAAAGAAGCACCGGCUAACUCCGUGCCAGCAGCCGCGGUAAUACGGAGGGUGCUAGCGUUAAUCAGAAUUACUGGGCGUAAAGAGCACGUAGGUGGUUUUUUUAAAGUCAGAUGUGAAAUCCCUGGGCUUAACCUGGAACUGCAUUUUGAAACUGAAAUACUAGAGUAUCGUAGAGGGAGGUAGAAUUCUAGGCGUAGCGGUGAAAUGCGUAGAUAUCUGGAGGAAUACCUGUGGCGAAAGCGGCCUCCUAAACGAAUACUGACACUGAGGUGCGAAAGCGUGGGGAGCAAACAGGGAUUAGAUACC
rnacentral:rRNA from 1 species